CUUCCUGUUCAGUGACAGUAGCUGGGUGCUGCAUUGUAACAUUACUUGCAGCACCUGGCUCCUCUUAAAGUGUAGAAGCCGGCACUGCAGACAAGGCGGUCUCCGAGGGCAGCGCACAUCCACAGAGCCCCCCGAGUGACUGAAACGGGGGGAAGGACGCGGAGCCACACUCCAUUCCGUGAAGUCUCGCUCCCUUUUUAGCGGCUGCCGCACCAGAUGUCCAAGGGCUUCACAGCUAUAGGACAACUACGCACAAGAUUGCCGAACUGCAUUCAGCGGUGUUGUGUUUUCUCCAAAGCAGCAGUACAGAACCAGACACCUGUCCUUAUUUGAGUUUUACUAUGCCUGCUUAAUGUCAGUAAAUCCUAUGGUUAAACCAUGACACAUGCACUUUUUCCUCUGCA